GACGAACGCUGGCGGCGUGCUUAACACAUGCAAGUCGAACGGGUCUGCCCUGUUUUUUGCGGGGUGGGUCAGUGGCGAACGGGUGAGUAACACGUGAGUAACCUGCCCCUCACUUCUGGAUAACCGCUUGAAAGGGUGGCUAAUACGGGGUGUUCUGGCUGUGCCGCAUGGUGUGGCUGGGAAAGAUUCACUUUUGUGGUGUUUUGGUGGGGGAUGGGCUCGCGGCCUAUCAGCUUGGUGGGGGGGUGAUGGCCUGGCAAGGCUUUGACGGGUAGCCGGCCUGGGAGGGUAGGCGGUCAGAGUGGGAGUGCGGUACGGCUCAGACUGAUGUGGGGGGCAGCCGUGGGGGGUAUGGAACAAUGGGGGGAAGCCUGAUGCAGCGACGUCGCGGGAGGGAUGGAGGCCUGCGGGUGGUGAACCUCUUUCGCCGGUGAAGAAGGUCCUGCUCUGUGUGGGGGGGUUGACGGUAGCCGGGUUAUGAAGCGCCGGCUAACUACGUG
rnacentral:rRNA from 1 species